CCUACGGGUGGCUGCAGUGAGGAAUAUUGGUCAAUGGGCGAGAGCCUGAACCAGCCAAGUCGCGUGAGGGAAGACGGUCCUACGGAUUGUAAACCUCUUUUGUCAGGGAGCAAGGAGCGCCACGAGUGGUGUGGCGAGAGUACCUGAAGAAAAAGCAUCGGCUAACUCCGUGCCAGCAGCCGCGGUAAUACGGAUGAUGCGAGCGUUAUUCGGUUUUAUUGGGUUUAAAGGGUGCGCAGGCCGCAUGUCAAGCGUGCUGUGAGAUGUCCGGGCUCAACCCGGGCCUUGCAGCGCGAACUGGCGUGCUUGAGUCCGCGGACAGCAGGCGGAAUUCGUCGUGUAGCGGUGAAAUGCUUAGAUAUGACGAAGAACCCCGAUUGCGAAGGCAGCUUGCUGCAGCGGAACUGACGCUGAUACUCGAAAGCGCGGGUAUCGAACAGGAUUAGAUACCCUGGUAGUC
rnacentral:rRNA from 1 species